GUCGAGAAUCUUUCACAAUGGGGGAAACCCUGAUGGAGCGACGCCGCGUGGGGGAUGAAUGGCUUCGGCCCGUAAACCCCUGUCAUCUGCGAUCAAACCUUUCCGGUGAAUAGCCGGAAAGCUGAUAGUAGUAGAAGAGGAAGGGACGGCUAACUCUGUGCCAGCAGCCGCGGUAAUACAGAGGUCCCAAGCGUUGUUCGGAUUUACUGGGCGUAAAGGGUGCGUAGGUGGCGAGGUAAGUUUGAUGUGAAAGCUCUGAGCUCAACUCAGAAACGGCAUUGAAUACUACCUUGCUCGAGGGUUGGAGGGGGGACUGGAAUACUCGGUGUAGCGGUGAAAUGCGUAGAUAUCGAGUGGAACACCAGUGGCGAAGGCGAGUCCCUGGACAACUCCUGACACUGAGGCACGAAAGCUAGGGGAGCAAACAGGAUUAGAAACCCUGGUAGUCC
rnacentral:rRNA from 1 species